UACGUAGGGGGCAAGCGUUGUCCGGAUUUAUUGGGCGUAAAGAGCGUGUAGGCGGCUUUACAGGUCCGUUGUGAAAACUCGAGGCUCAACCUCGAGACGCCGGUGGAAACCGUAAAGCUAGAGUCCGGAAGAGGAGAGUGGAAUUCCUGGUGUAGCGGUGAAAUGCGCAGAUAUCAGGAGGAACACCCGUGGCGAAAGCGGCUCUCUGGGACGGUACUGACGCCGAGACGCGAAAGCGUGGGGAGCGAACAGG
rnacentral:rRNA from 1 species